UACGUAGGUGGCAAGCGUUGUCCGGAUUUAUUGGGCUUAAAGGGUGCGUAGGCGGCUUUAUAAGUCAGUGCUGAAAUAUCCCGGCUUAACCGGGAGGGUGGCAUUGAUACUGCAGAGCUUGAGUGAAGUCGAGGUAGGCGGAAUUGACGGUGUAGCGGUGAAAUGCUUAGAUAUCGUCAAGAACACCGAUAGUGAAGACAGCUUACUAGACUUCAACUGACGCUGAGGCACGAAAGUGUGGGGAUCAAACAGG
rnacentral:rRNA from 1 species